rnacentral:lncRNA from 13 species
GAGGAACAGAGCCUCUUUUGCCUCACUCUUUACAGGAACCCACCAACUUCUUCAGGGGAAGUUCCAAGGAGCAUUGCCAGCAGGAUGUGAUACUUCCUCAAGCACUGCCAGGAAAACAAAGGAAAGCCUGUCCACCAGCCUCUGCCUACAGAGCAGACACUCAAAGUGUCCAAAACCUAAGGGGAGCCCAGGAGUUCCAGUAGGCUCAGUAACUGUCCUUGAAAAAGCAAGAGAC